rnacentral:rRNA from 1 species
AAGUCGUAACAAGGUAACCGUAGGUGAACCUGCGGUUGGAUCAUUACCAAUCCCUGAUUCGCAAGAAUCAACAACACCUGUGCAAUGUUAACUGUCUCUGGGUAGCUGUAGUGAAGUGUUUAGGCACUUCAUGACCCGCUGCCCAACCUUAUAAACCCUUCUAUUUUUUGUCUUAUCUUAUAUUAAAAUAUAAUACAACUUUUGACAACGGAUCUCUUGGCUCUCGCAACGAUGAAGAACGCAGCGAAAUGCGAUACGUAGUGUGAAUUGCAGAAUUCCGUGAAUCAUCGAAUCUUUGAACGCACCUUGCACUUAGCCUCGGUUAAGUAUGCCUGUUUGAGAAUCUAUAGACUUCUUUAUCCUUCUGGGUAAGAUUUGGGCUCUUUGCGUAGCAAACUGCCUUAAAACUAUAGCCUGAUGCUCUAGCGUUAUGGAAAAGGUGCCAAAGUGUAUGAAGGGUUCGCCCACGUCCUUUGAAGCUGAUUCUUGUUAAAGUGUCAAGUCCAACGAAACCUCGGUUUCACUAAGAGGCAACUCUUGAACUUUGGUCUCAAAUCAGGUAGGAAGACCCGCUGAACUUACGCAUAUCAAUAAGCGGAGGAAAAGAAAAUAACUAUGAUUCCCCUAGUAACGGCGAGUGAAGCGGGAAGAGCUCAAAUUUGUAAUCUCAGCUGGCAACAGCUGCGAAUUGUAGUUUCGAGACGCGUUUUCGGUGGCGACUUGGGUACAAGUUCUUUGGAACGAGGCAUCAUAGAGGGUGAGAAUCCCGUCCAUGGCCCUCUGUCGCUACCAUGUGAUACGUGCUCUAAGAGUCGGUUUGUUUGGGAAUGCAGACCAAAAUGGGUGGUAAGUACCAUCUAAAGCUAAAUAUUGGCGAGAGACCGAUAGCGAACAAGUACCGUGAGGGAAAGAUGAAAAGAACUUUGAAAAGAGAGUUAAAUAGUACGUGAAAUUGUCAAAAGGGAAACGCUUGAAACCAGUAUUGCAUGCUAUAGUAGCAGUUCUUUUGAGCUGUGUUCUUAGUGUGCGAGUCAACAUCAGUUUGAUUCGAGUGAAAAUGCUUCGGGAAUGUGAGCUCUAGGGUUUUUAUAGCCGGAAGUGAUAGCUUGGGUUGGACUGAGGACUGCAGCGUCUGUUGGGGAACCUGUCGCCUUGGAAAGCGCAUUAGUCGACUGCUUGCAGAUGCCUUUUGUUGCCGAAGAGUACGGUGGGCGUACCACACUAGCGCUUAGGAUGUUGACGAAAUGGUUUUAAUCGACC